AGGUGUCACAGGAGGAUGGGCUGGAGCCUGAGGCUGUCAGGGCACAGCUGGAGCAUGUGUGGGAUGCCAAGCAGAGGAAACUGAUGUGCAGCUGGCUGGAGAGUCACACUGCAGGUGCCCCAGCUGAAUAUCAAUUUCCUCAUCCUCCUCCCUCCUUGUGUAAGGAAAACAUGAUUCUUAGCUAAGUUAGCUAAGAACUUUGCACUGGGAUUGAAAACUCAACUGUCUGGAGAGUUAAAACAUGAGCAAUAGAAAGAUUUAAACUUCAAGCAUCAUGUGAAGCUCAAGAAACUGAAAAUAAGCCAGGCUAAAGAUGUUCCUUCACAAGUCCAAUGGACAGUAUUGUAAACUACCAACAAGACAUUAUUUCAACUCCCACAGGGGAAACUCUCAGGCCACUGCCAAAACACAGACUUGAAGAAGAAGGGCCUUGGAGGUACUGCACAGCAACUCCUACAGCAAGCAGCUGGCUGAAAAUAUGUAGCAGUAACUCAUUACAGCUCCUCUUUGAAAGGAAGCAUCAUCCUCAUCUGGAGGAAUUCUGAUACCCCAGUCACCAGUGAUGAAACCACAGCUAAACACAGAAUAAUUCAGAGCACGUUUUAAAUGAGCUAUUCCAACAGGAGCAUUCAGAGAUGAACUCUGCUUUAGCAGCACAGGAGUUGGCACAGGACACCAGGAAUCUUUGUCUGCUGGUACCCACAUGCAGACAGAGAGCUUUUGGCAAAGAGGGUCACAUUACUGUGGUGAUAUAUCUGUAUAAGAACUAUUCCAAAACAGGCAUUUAUAACAAACCUACACCAACAAAUCCUGUGUGCCAAAACUGAUCCCUCAUUUAUACACACAUAUAGAUGCACUUUUAAUGCUAAUUUUAUGCUGCCCCUCUUUCUCUUAGAAUUCACUUAUGACUUUCUACCAAUAGAUAUACCUUUCUUGGACAGCAGAACACAGGAUAAAACCCCACCUAUAGCAAGCUAUUUCUGUCUAAUUAUGAGAACAUCAGAGUGCUUGGUGAUGGCAAUUUAAGACUCUAAUAGGUUACA